rnacentral:lncRNA from 1 species
UGGAUCAAAGGAUAAUCUAAAGCAAUGGAUUGAUCAUCCAAGAUUUGAGCUAAUUCGUGAAGGUAAAGCACUCAUUGUGUUUGCUUCUACAAAUGUGUCUGGAUUUCUUGUUAUUCAUGAGUACUUUUGAUCAAAUGAAUAAAACGUCUAAGUAAUUCCAACAUAUUUGUUUAACCGUGAUUAUCAGUGAAAAUCUAGAGAUUAAACUUUAGCUAGUAGUUCCGACUUUGAGUUGAGACUUAUCUGAAGCGUCUAGAAAUGAUUAUAAAGAAAAUUUCAAUGACUAGUCAGAACUAUCUCUGUUAUACUCCUUCAUGUUUCCCUUUUCAUGAUGCAUGACCUAUUUGGGUGCAAACAAGCAUGGUGAAUAAAAUUUCUUUCGCUGGUGAAUAUGUGGGCAAAGGUUUCAGGAUUGUUGUAAGUUAUGCUUUUUAACUCAUUUCUUGACCAGGUGUUCGUUUCAGAGAAAGCUUAUUUUUUGUAUAACAAACUUCAAGACUUAUAGGAAGCUAGAAUAAUUGGAAGAACAUUUGCAGCAUUGAACACUACUUUAAGUGAAACAAAAAAUAGUAGCCUCGGGAACAAGUAACACAGUUGGCUCAUUGACAUCUUUCUACAUACGUGGCUAAAGGUGGAUGUAAACUUGAUGUACUAGUCUAAACUCACAACACACAUAAAUAUGUGGUGGUUUUCUAUUAAAUUGAUUGCAUUUGGAUUUUUCUUAUCCCUAAGAUUACUGGUUACUGAAAUAUACAAUAAUUUUAAGAAAUAACAAAGGUCCCUGACACUCAUGUGAUAGUUGGUUCUGCUAUCUAUUUUGUCAACUCCAAUUAUAUGAAGGGCAUGUUCUAAUUAUUUAAUUAGCUUAAUGAUAUUGCUUUCUUAUAAUUUUGAAGGAUACUGAGAUGGUUAACUGAUGAAAAGAAAACUACUAAAAGAAACUAAUCAAACAAAAAUUCCAAAUUCUAUUGUUGAGAUGUCACUAAGUUAUCUCCUACAUUUUCAAUUCUUUCACUUCUUUUCCCUUGAUUACUAUAUGUUAUUAAGAGUAAUUUGUUUCGUAUUCUCUUGCAGUGUUACUGAUACAAAUACUAAUGGAAUUCAUGUCUGGAAAUUUGAUUAAGUCCCUUAACAAAUUAGACGUUGAAGUAAGUUGGUAGUAUAUAAAUUCUAUUUUUCCUGUUCAAGUUUUGGCACUUUUUUGUUGCUUCUUUUGUUUGAAGUUAGCUCCAAAAGAUUUUGACGCUGGCUUGGUUUGUUUAACUAACUAUUAGUUUAUGGCUCCUAUUUUAUCCGUUCAUUUCUUCUACUUGAGUUUUCCGGUGCUGUUAGCGUUCAACUUUUCAUCUUCCGUUAAUCAUUGGGUUGGAUUAUAACUUAUACUUUAUUUGUUGAAUUCUAAUGUUAGAAAAACUAUUUAGGUUGACUUAUACUUUAAUAGUUACAUAGGUGGUUUUUUUUAUUUCAUGAAUAUGGCCAGAAUUUAUGUUGCCAAGUAUUGUGAUGAUAUAUGAGGAAUUAACUUUGUACUUUAGCUCUUAUUCAUAUGAUAAUAUCCAACAACUUCUGUUCAAUGCCUUGAUUAGAUCAAGUGACAGAUUAAUUUGUUAAAAAAAUUAGAGCUUUCAUCUAUUUAUGUAACUGGAUUUGUGCUUUUAGUUUGUCAAAAUGCUAGUCAAUUAUAAGUUUUUCAUCAAAUAUUUUUGUUUCAUUAUUUCAGCUUAGUGAUGUGGAGAGCGAGUCUACUUCCCCUCAUGGAUGUAAGAGUAGCAUCAAGCUAUAACAAUGUAAAUCACCAAGCAAGUACAUUGCACUUUGUAUAUUUAUUUAUUGAGGAUGAGGAUCUACUCUUUAUAGUAUAAUGUUUAAGUUAUCAUACAUUUAUUUGUAUAAUUUUAGUUUGAUGUGAAUUUAAAAUUAUGAUGUUUGUUAG